UGGGUGGAUUAGUGGCGAACGGGUGAGUAACACGUGAGUAACCUGCCCCUGACUCUGGGAUAAGCGUUGGAAACGACGUCUAAUACUGGAUACGACUGCCGGCCGCAUGGUCUGGUGGUGGAAAGAUUUUUUGGUUGGGGAUGGACUCGCGGCCUAUCAGCUUGUUGGUGAGGUAAUGGCUCACCAAGGCGACGACGGGUAGCCGGCCUGAGAGGGUGACCGGCCACACUGGGACUGAGACACGGCCCAGACUCCUACGGGAGGCAGCAGUGGGGAAUAUUGCACAAUGGGCGAAAGCCUGAUGCAGCAACGCCGCGUGAGGGAUGACGGCCUUCGGGUUGUAAACCUCUUUUAGUAGGGAAGAAGCGAAAGUGACGGUACCUGCAGAAAAAGCACCGGCUAACUACGUGCCAGCAGCCGCGGUAAUACGUAGGGUGCAAGCGUUGUCCGGAAUUAUUGGGCGUAAAG
rnacentral:rRNA from 1 species